UACAGAGGUCUCAAGCGUUGUUCGGAUUCAUUGGGCGUAAAGGGUGCGUAGGCGGCGCGGUAAGUCGGGUGUGAAAUCUCGGAGCUUAACUCCGAAACUGCAUUCGAUACUGCGGUGCUUGAGGACUGGAGAGGAGACUGGAAUUCAUGGUGUAGCAGUGAAAUGCGUAGAUAUCGAGAGGAACACCAGUGGCGAAGGCGAGUCCCUGGACAACUCCUGACACUGAGGCACGAAAGCUAGGGGAGCGAACAGG
rnacentral:rRNA from 1 species